rnacentral:lncRNA from 1 species
UCUGGGUGGUAAGAUUUUUAUUUUUAGAUUAAAUUGACAAUACAGAGAAAUGCAGAUCUUUAGUGUACAAUUCAGUGAAUUUUGGCAAAUGUAUUCACCCAUGAAAUUACCACUGGAAUGAAGAUCAAGAACAUUUUCAUACCCCCAAAACCCCUUCUAAUCAAUCCUCACUCCCCAAAGGCAACCACAGUUCUGUUUUUUCCCCACAAUAGUUUUGCCUGUUCUUAACCUUCAUAUAAAUGGAAUCAUUCAGAAUGUCCCCUUCUUGUGUCUGGCUUCUUUCAUUUAACAUGGGUGAUAAGGUUUGAGCUGAGCCUGAAAGCACUGCUAGGGUUGAAUAAGCAACAAUGGAGGCAGGGGAGAAAAGGUGAGGUAUAGAGAAUAGCUUGAGAAAGAAAAGGAGACGGAUAAAGUGAAUUGGGGACUGGUGUGACUAGAGUAAGGGGUACCCAAUGGGGAAGAGAAAGAAGGAUGGAAAGCUAGGUUGGAGCUUUGUUUUGCAGAGUUUUCAAUGCCAGGACAAAGGCAUGUAGACUUUAUCCUGAAGGCAACAGGGAGCCAGCCAGGGAACAGAAGAGUGGACUGAUGAGAUCUGGGUUUUGAGGAGAUAUAUAUGUGGCCACAGCAGGUAGAUACAAUGAAGUUCAGAAAGUCUGGAGGCCUGGAGAC